rnacentral:rRNA from 1 species
AAGCGAGGGGGGGAGGACUGUCGC